rnacentral:lncRNA from 1 species
CAAGUUACUGGUCAAAAUAUGACAGUUAUAAGCAGCUGAAAGUAGGGUCUUGUAAUUGGGAAUGUCAGACGGUCUUGACAGUAGGCAGUGCUACCAGCCCACCGACCUCAGGAAGGCAGCUCAGGAUUUGUGCGCUGGCACAGAAGGAGGGUCCUUCUCCCAUCCUCCUGAGAGGGGAUGACUAUUGCAAGACAUAGAGCAGGGUGUGCCGCGCAGUGAGCUUCUGUGUCAUGGCAAAGCAGAUUAUGCCCUGGAUAUGUAGAAGUGCUCCUCUAUUCCUGUUGUGGCUGUACUGCUGUCCAAGUGACUCUGACAAGGCAUCUUUCUGUUGGCUGCACUGCCUGGCUGCCUCUGCUUCCCUCCCAGCCAUAGCCCACCUUUAUUCCUGCUCAUCUGGUGACACUGCUGAAUUUGAUGGUGUUUGCUCAGCACCAGGUGUGAACUGGCAGCACUUCCACAGUGACUGCAGCCACCAGGAGUUCAAACACACCUCCUGGCUUCGCAUUGUCAGCUGCAACAAUUAUUGCAAAUGAACAGACAUCACAAACAAAACAGAAGCCCAACCCUGCUAGAACCUACUCACAGAUGGACAAAUUUGUUAUUGUUUUCACGAUCUUUUGCAAUGUGUUUGCAGGUUUCUACAGCCUUGUUUAAAUUCAAGCAAGGACCUUUUUGCACCAACUUUGCAGGAUUUCAUUUGUGAGUUGUACAUUUAAUUCUCCACAGCAGAUGGUGAUGUGUGGGUGUACCGCUGUAUAUUUGCAACAGAUCCCUUAUCCUACAAAAUUAAUUAAGUGUCUCAUGUGCUGAUUUAAAAUCAGAAUUGCAUUGUUUGUAAAAAGCUAAUUCUUGCAUAUCAUUUUGCUGGGACUCGUGCAACUCAGGCACAGUGUAAGAGAAGGCUCAGUGCUCCUCUACAGCACAUAGCAGUGCUGCCAGUCCUGUGUGCAGUCUGAGAGCUCGAGAUCUCAGUGUUUGUUACUGAAAUAGAUGUCCUUAUUUGAUAGUCUUGUGGGGUCUGAUAGGGUGCUGUGGUUUGUGCAGCUGCUGCUGGCAGGAAUCCUGGCUCCUCGUGGCCCUUGGUGCAACACUGAUGGCUUCUGGGGUAGAAUCCUGCACUGAGCACAUGGUGUGCAUUAGGUGUGAGGGACAGAAGGAAGUGGCCGUGUGCUGUACGUACAUGGGAGCAAGCAGCAGGAGCUGGGGCAAGGCUGGUGAUCCCACUGCUGUGAUGGAAGGAGGGCACUUUGUUGGGGAGCAGCUCAGGUAGCAGACUCGGGAUUUUGAUCUUUUGCUACUUCAGUGGGAAAUAAUUUGUAGCCUCUUAACAUUUAAAAUUUGAGUGAAAUUUAAUACAA